UUGGAGGAGAGAGGUAGGAGGAGGAGAGAGGUUGGAAGAGGCGAGAGGUUGGAGGAGGAGAGAGGUUGGAAGAGAGAGGUUGGAGGAGGAGAGAGGUUGGAAGAGGAGAGAGGUUGGAAGAGAGAGAUAGGAGGAGGAGAGAGGUUGGAAGAGGAGAGAGGUUGGAGGAGGAGAGAGGUUGGAAGAGGAGAGAGGUUGGAGGAGAGAGGUUGGAGGAGGAGAGAGGUAGGAGGAGAGAGGUUGGAGGAGGAGAGAGGUUGGAGGAGGAGAGAGGUUGGAGGAGGAGAGAGGUUGGAGGAGGAGAGAGGUUGGAAGAGAGAGAUAGGAAGAGGAGAGAGGUAGGAGGAGGAGAGAGGUUGGAAGAGGCGAGAGGUUGGAGGAGGAGAGAGGUUGGAAGAGAGAGGUUGGAGGAGGAGAGAGGUUGGAAGAGGAGAGAGGUUGGAGGAGGAGAGAGGUUGGAAGAGGAGAGAGGUUGGAGG